GAUGAACGCUGGCGGCGUGCCUAAUACAUGCAAGUCGAGCGAACAGAUGAGGAGCUUGCUCCUCUGACGUUAGCGGCGGACGGGUGAGUAACACGUGGAUAACCUACCUAUAAGACUGGGAUAACUUCGGGAAACCGGAGCUAAUACCGGAUAAUAUAUUGAACCGCAUGGUUCAAUAGUGAAAGACGGUUUUGCUGUCACUUAUAGAUGGAUCCGCGCCGCAUUAGCUAGUUGGUAAGGUAACGGCUUACCAAGGCAACGAUGCGUAGCCGACCUGAGAGGGUGAUCGGCCACACUGGAACUGAGACACGGUCCAGACUCCUACGGGAGGCAGCAGUAGGGAAUCUUCCGCAAUGGGCGAAAGCCUGACGGAGCAACGCCGCGUGAGUGAUGAAGGUCUUCGGCUCGUAAAACUCUGUUAUUAGGGAAGAACAAAUUUGUAAGUAACUAUGCACGUCUUGACGGUACCUAAUCAGAAAGCCACGGCUAACUACGUG
rnacentral:rRNA from 1 species